GUUGGGGGACCUUGACUCUUGCAGCAUGCUUGGCUCCUAGGAAAGCGCCCCCCAAGUUAACCCCGACGCAUCGGUCCAGGUCUGCCUUUGUGGUAUCCAGAAUGCUCCCAAACGCGCGAUCCAGAACGCCAGCAUUGUUUGUACGUAGCAGACAUCUUCACCUAGCUUGUUGGCAAUGGCUUGGCCAAGGUCGUCUUGGAUAUCGGCUAUGACAACUUUGGCACCCUGUUCGUGGAAUAGCUGCGCUGCACUUGCUCCAAUCCCACUUGCUCCUCCAGUGAUAAUUGCAACCUUUCCCUCUAGCCUGAGUAAAUCAUUAGAAAAUUAGAUCUAGUACCAUUAACUGACGAAAAAAAUAAAAUUUAAUUAAUUAAUUACCUUUACCUUUUGUAAGUGGGCGCGAUUGAAGAAGUGGCACUCAUCUUCACCUCAAAAACUGGGAAGCCAAAAGGGUAUUGAACUAUGGAAGAAAUUCUUGGAGGUGAUUCUGAUGCUCAAUCCGUAAUGUUGUUUAGGAUUUUAAUAGGAUGAAGACCAAAAUAAUUCGAAUUAGAAAAAUCGUGUUCACAUGUUAGUUGCUUGAAGAAACAACUAUGCAACGUUAACAGUGAGAAAAUGAUCACACGGACUCUGUUUUUAUAUUUUGUAUUAAAUCAAGCAAUACAGUCAUCACAGCAGCACACCGUGCCAGCUACCUCAUCACAGCAAGAUGCCAUGAAUCAUCCAAAUAAUCAGCCAAUCAUGCAAUCACAAGAUGUUUCUAGAAAUAAAAAAUGCUAGCAUUCUGUUAGCAUCUUCUGCAAA